UUAUAUUGAUAGAGCACACUGGAGCAGAGAUGGGCCCUGUUGAUCACUUUCUGCCUCUUAAAUUACUCAGAUAGUGGUUCAAGAGUGAUUGAUUAGCUGAGCAGUAUGGAAAAAGAUCUGGAAAAGUUCAAGGACCACAGUUUGCUUGCCCUCAAAGUAUAAACUUGGUUGUUGUGACUAGUGAGAAAACUGAACUUCUUUUUAGAUAAAUAUAAAUAAAAUAGACUAGACUAAUUUGAACACUCC